AACGCUAGCUACAGGCUUAACACAUGCAAGUCGAGGGGCAGCAUGGUCUUAGCUUGCUAAGGCUGAUGGCGACCGGCGCACGGGUGAGUAACACGUAUCCAACCUGCCGUCUACUCUUGGACAGCCUUCUGAAAGGAAGAUUAAUACAAGAUGGCAUCAUGAGUCCGCAUGUUCACAUGAUUAAAGGUAUUCCGGUAGACGAUGGGGAUGCGUUCCAUUAGAUAGUAGGCGGGGUAACGGCCCACCUAGUCUUCGAUGGAUAGGGGUUCUGAGAGGAAGGUCCCCCACAUUGGAACUGAGACACGGUCCAAACUCCUACGGGAGGCAGCAGUGAGGAAUAUUGGUCAAUGGGCGAGAGCCUGAACCAGCCAAGUAGCGUGAAGGAUGACUGCCCUAUGGGUUGUAAACUUCUUUUAUAAAGGAAUAAAGUCGGGUAUGGAUACCCGUUUGCAUGUACUUUAUGAAUAAGGAUCGGCUAACUCCGUGCCAGCAGCCGCGGUAAUACGGAGGAUCCGAGCGCUAUCCGGAUUUAUUGGGUUUAAAGGGAGCGUAGGCGGACGCUUAAGUCAGUUGUGAAAGUUUGCGGCUCAACCGUAAAAUUGCAGUUGAUACUGGGUGUCUUGAGUACAGUAGAGGCAGGCGGAAUUCGUGGUGUAGCGGUGAAAUGCUUAGAUAUCACGAAGAACUCCGAUUG
rnacentral:rRNA from 1 species